rnacentral:rRNA from 1 species
UGGCCUACGGGAGGCAGCAGUGAGGAAUAUUGGUCAAUGGUCGGGAGACUGAACCAGCCAAGCCGCGUGAGGGAUGAAGGUACAGAGUAUCGUAAACCUCUUUUGUCAGGGAACAAAGGCGGGGACGCGUCCCCGGAUGAGUGUACCUGAAGAAAAAGCAUCGGCUAACUCCGUGCCAGCAGCCGCGGUAAUACGGAGGAUGCGAGCGUUAUCCGGAUUUAUUGGGUUUAAAGGGUGCGUAGACGGGUAUACAAGUUAGUAGUGAAAUCCCUCGGCUUAACUGAGGAACUUCUACUAAAACUAUU